AGGGCGCGCUGAUGUGACCGCAUUCGGGACCGCUGUUUACGCGCAGAGGCCGAGCUAGCGGCGUGUGUCACACGCGGUGCAAACCCUCCCCCGGUCCUCCAGGACGGAGGGUAAAGUCGCUUCAACUCACUCAAACCAACAUGGUUACGCGGGGAACCGAGCCCGAACCGGCAAUUUUACUAUCUCACGCGCAGUUGCGUUAGUUGUGAAGCUUCCUUAAGGCCAGAGUUGAUUUGAGGACAAGGACCGAGUGUGUCAGCGACAACACAGCAAACGCUGCUUUCCCCAGAAGGGCAACGUGAGAUACAGAGGCACUGCAGCAGAUAUCCUCAUCUUAACUCGGAUGCGGUUGCUUUGUGUCAGGAUUCUGUAAUUGUCUCUGCAGCUGGAGAUGAAAAGGAGGAACUGGUUUCUGGUUCUCAUCAGA